CUGAUGUAAUUUCUUCUUCGUCUUAGGCUCUAGAUAAGUGCCAGCUUGGAGACGAGGUUCGCAAGAAGGCAGGCAAGCUUGAUUCUUCAGUGUCUGAGAAUGGAGAGAAUUGGAGUGUUGGUCAAAGGCAGCUAGUUUGUCUUGGACGCGUCCUACUAAAGAAAAGCAAGAUUCUCGUGCUUGACGAGGCCACUGCAUCAGUCGACACAGCAACAGAUAAUCUGAUUCAACAAACUCUCAAGCAACACUUUUACGACUCAACAGUUGUAACAAUUGCACAUAGGAUAACAUCUGUGCUUGACAGUGACAUGGUUUUAUUAUUAGAUCACGGACUUGUUAAAGAAUAUGAUAUUCCGAAAAAGCUGUUGAAGGACAAAUCAUCUUCUUUUGCAAAGCUUGUAGCAGAGUACAGCAUGAGAUCCGGUUCUAGUUAUGAAAAUCUUGCAGAAAAUAGACUACAAGAUAUCUCUUAACUAUAAUGAUCAUUAUGAUGAUGAAAAUCUGCAACAAUAACAGCAUGAUGAUGACGACGAUGUCUCCAUACUGCUAGACUUGCUUCUAGCCUUGAAUGAUCAUACAAUUCACAAGUAUAGUUGGUGAUCAGUAGACCUAAAUAGAAUAUGUUAAACACAUAUAUUUUAUAAUCAAGCAUAUAUUAUUGUGUACGCUAUCUAUCGAAAGAAAUUUGAACGUGUUGAGCUUGUCAAUUU